rnacentral:lncRNA from 1 species
UGGCCAUGUAUGUCAGCAAAGAGCAGGGCUGCUCCCUGAGCUGAGCUGGAGCCCCGGGUGAGGCUGUGGGCAGUCAUGAACAGAGCCAGUCCCAUAGCACCUGAUCCAGGCAGCAGAGCAGGGGUGGAGGCACUGCUGGAGAAUGCAGCAGAGUGGUUUCGCCAUUCAGAUAAAAAAUACAAGCAAAAUACAAAGAUUUAUACCUCCACAUAAGGAGCAACACAUGAUGACUUCAAGCAGGAAGGACAGAAACUUUCAGAAGGA